AAACCAUGAUUUGGACACUUUCGUAGCAUAGAUUUGUAGCACUUUCAUGCUUCACAAAGGGUUUCAGUUGCACUUUGAGCAAAAGCAGCGAUUGCUGUCCUGGAAU